CCCCGUGCUCAUACCACCCUUAACACGCCCCAUCUUGUCUGAACUCUGAAGCUAAGCAGGGUUGUCCCUGGUUAGCUGGAUGGGAGAGCACCUGGAAUGACGGGUGCUGUAGAGU
rnacentral:rRNA from 1 species